ensembl:lncRNA
UUAAAGCUUUAAGCAAAAGGGUAAUGUGACCACAGUAAUAAUAACACUGGACUGAAAGGCUCUGUGGCCUCAGACAAGCCAUUUUCAUGUUCAGAGGACAUGUCAAUAUCUGCACUGUCUGCUUCCCCAGGGUUGUUUAAAGAUGAAGUGACGCUUUGUCAGAUCGGUAAAGCACGUUUUAACUUGCAAAAUGUACAAUUAUAAAGUGACUUGUUCUUAUAGAGAAUGAGGAGAGGGCAGGAAAAAGUGUCCAGGAGAGACCACUCUAUUAACAAGCUGAGGUCUGGUCAGUACCAAUCACUGCUCUAAUGUGAUGCAGGAGAUAAUGAGAGAGGUGAGCUUUUUAAAUUUUCCUAAUGUUUAUUCAUUGCUGAGAAGGGGGUGAGGGGGAGAGAGGGAGACAGAGGGUCCAAAGCAGGCUCUGCACUGACAACAGUGAGCCUGAUGCAGGGCUCAAACUGACGAACAGUAAGAUCAUGACCUGAGCCGAAGUUGGCUCCUCAGCCGACUGAGUUACCCAGGCACCCAGAGAGAGGCGGACUUUUUAAGGACACAGAGAUAAAGGUAUUUUAGGUAGUUUAGGAUUCCCUUGGUUUCAUGAACUCAUGGUGAUUUCAGCUUUUUCCUGCAGUCUCUCAGUUCAUCCCUCAGAUUGUGUCUAAAGAAAACCCAGCCUCGCAUCAUCUGCAAGAUGACCAGUCUUUGGUUUGCCAAGCUAGAUUGGGAAGACUCACAAGAGCCGAGUGACCAUAGCUGGAGUGAUCAGGAUACCAAGGCGUCUUUGGUUUGCAGAACAGCCGUGAUGACUGACCUACAUGGACCACUGGAAGCAUACAUUAGGCAAAGGGCUGAUGGACAGGAAUGUGCCACAGGAGUCUCCUGCUACACGGAAGAGCGAAGUCAGAGAGUUCUUGCCACUUUGGCUCAGGGUACUCACAGGGGCUCCUAAACAGCCUCGCCCUUCUCAGCUCUUUGAACAUUUUGUCACUCACCCACUUUCUCUAUUCUGUUGUUUAUAACAUUCACCACUGCACGAUACAUUUAGGAAUCAACACAUAAUACCUAGAAGGACACUGACCUGGGAGUCAGAAGAUCUGUGCUCUAGCAUGGACAUGGAAGCUAGUUUUUUGGUCUUGACCUGGUCAAUGUCACCUCUCUGGCUUCAGUUUUCGGAUAUGUAAGAUAAAUGGAUUGCGCUAGAACAGGUCCAAACUUUCUUGUAGCUCUAACACACACACACCUGCAACCUGACCAGCCUCUUCUCUCGUUGUCCUUGCCCCUCAACUCAACUCUCUAACUCGACCCUCUCAUCUGUAUCUUUGCCAUUUCCUUGGUGUGCAAUGCCCUCCUUUUCUUGUGCUUCUGCUAACCUCCUCAGUGUUUCAGAUUUCAGUGCUGCCUUCAGUGAAUCAUUCCUUUGCACCCUCAAGUUUAGAUAUUUGCUCUUCUUUGCGUCCAGGGUACUCUGUAUGCACCUGAAUUACAGCAACAUCCUCCGGGACGUGUUCACAUGCCUCUCUUCCCAAAAGGCUGUAAUGCCUUUAAUGUAGAAAUUACAUUUCUAUCAGUCAGGGCUCAAUUUCAGAGAACAGAAUCCACUCCAACCAGUUCAAGCAGGAAAGGAUUUACUGCGGAAAUAUUAUUACGUGGCUUAUCAAGUCAUUGGGAGGGGAAAAGUAAGCUCAAGACUAGGCUUUCAGGAACCACUCACAAAGCCACACUGCAGAUAGUAAGCCACUGAGAGAAUUGCUACCUCUCUUGGCAUCAGGAAAUCUCCACCUUCACAACAGUACCACCACUAGAACAAUCGGAAACUAAAUUCUCUCCACAUAUAUCUCAUAGUCAAAUUCUCAAAAAGAACGAG